rnacentral:lncRNA from 1 species
CCGCCCCCAUCCCAAGCUGCUUUCUCUCUCCCAGGCGAUUUCCAGAUCUAGGGUUUCAAUGACACCAAAUCGUUGAUUUUCUCUCUAUCCGACAGAAGAUCCAAUGGGGUUGACCUCUAGGGUUUCAAUGACACGGAAUCGAUGAUUUUCUCUCUAUUCGACACAAGAUCCACUGGGGUUGACCUCUAGAGAACUAAAGGCUAGGGUUCAACUAACUGGCAGUUAACUUCUCUGAGAUCCGUUGCUGCUCGUGUUAAUCCUCAUCUUCUUCUGUUCAGAUCUGGCUUUAAUACUGGUGGCUGAACAACAAGUAAGUAGCUUGUGUUUAGAGGCUCAGGAGUUCAUGAUUGCUGGUAGAUGGUUGGAUUUGGCUUCGUUGAUGAUUACUUCUGCUGAUUUGGUGUUUUCCAAAGCGCCAAAUAAAGGAUAAGCUGCAACAAGGGGAUUGGUUUCAAUGACACCGAAUUGAUGAUUUUCUCUCUAUUCGACACAAGAUCCACUAGGGUUUUUCUCUAUUCGACACAAAAUCCACUGGGGUUGACCUCUAGGUGGCUGAACAACAAGUGAGUAGCUUGUGUUUGGAGGCGCAAGAGUUCAUGAUUGCUGGUAGAUGGUUGGAUCUUCCCAGGUUAUACCAUCAGAAAAGACAGCAAACCCACAACCAUCACUGCCCUUUCAUACUCAGUCAUGUUUAGUACAAGUAUAAACUGUUGGACAAAGGAGUGUUGUUGGGUUGGUCCAAACUCUAAACCGACCCAGUUAUCGACAACAUGCAGUGACAAUAGUGGUUGGGGACCACUGAUCGGCGAAGUGGUGACUUGCGGUGGUGGUUCUUGACUUAGAACUAUGACGAUGGAAGACACCGGGUGUAGAAUAGAGACCUACAUCAUGUGAGAUUAUUCCGCGAAGAGGUGACAGAUGACGAAGAACGUGACGAAAUUCCCUACAAAGAGGCGCCGAAGACCGAAUUUCAGAAGUUUAUAAGUCUCAAAAAGAAAGAUAUGCCUGGAUUUGUUGGUGAAGGAUUUUCGGAUCAUCUUUUGUAUGAUCAUCGCCCAUACAAAUUAAACGAAGAUGAUUAUCAGCGCAUCAGCCAAAUUCGCAAGAAAAAGGUAGACAUGGAUAUCGAAGAUGAGGACGUUUCACAGGUAGACAUGGCUGCGAUUUAGUGUUGCUUUUUGGUACGCGUUUCGUGGAACUGGGGGUGACCUAUUUUAUUUGGUGCGCCCACUAAGAUGUGGCCAUGGGAAGACGACACUAAUUCUUUAGCCAUGGCUAAAAAAAGAAUGAGGUAAAACGAAAGUGAAUGAUGCUAAAUCUCAGUUGCAGGCAUCAUUAUAUGGCGGCCAUGGUGAUCAGUUAGCGAUAAUAGCAACUUUUGAGUGAUGGAAAAACACCAAACAAAUAGCUGAUGAUAGCUAUUGGCAUAUCUGUAAUGUGGCUUGUUGGAAUUACUAUUCCCUGGCGCACACUAGCUCUUAUUGUUCACCAGAAAAGGCUAUGUUUGCAUAUCUUUAGCUUUCCCAUGCACCAAGGCAAGACGGGAAUUAGUCUUCUAAUAUUGAUCGAUAAGAUUUAGAUUUAUUGUUGAAUUUUAAAAUAUUAACAUGUACAAUAUCAAAUUUAAGUGCUUCCCACUACCCUCUUUUUUCACACUAGGUAAUUUUAAGUGCU